AGAAAAAGUGUGACCUGAGAGAACAUAAGAUUGCACAAAAGACAUUAAUUUUUGAUUGCACAAGUAAAACAUAAUUUAGCACAACAUACCAGGGUUAUAGUGUAAUACUUUGGGAUUUUUCUAAUCGUUAGGUUUUAUUUUGUUUUGAAUUAUGCUUUUUUUUUUUAAUUAAAGGGAAAGUCAUGCGCCUCCACGAGUCUCAGCACGCUAUUCUGAUUGUGUUUGUGGAACAUGAGUUAAGCAGCGAAAUCCACUCAUUUUGAGCCAUCUCAGGAAGCGGCCAUAUUGCCAAUUUAUGUCAACUGAAAAUGACAUCAUAGGUGCUGCGGGCUCUGGGAAAGACCAAUCACGGCUCACCUGUUUUAUGAAGCUGAGCCAUGAUUGGUUGUGCGUUGCAACUGUGAUGUCAUUUUCUUUCGACAGGAACUGGCAAAAUGGCCGCCCUCUACAAAUCCAAUCUCAGAUGUCGCCAACCGGAGGCUGAUUGGCCGGAUCCCGAGUGAUUUUCAACUGGAUAAUCCCGAAAAAGGAGGAUGACGUCAGCGCGACGACUCCGGCAUCUGGAGGAAAAUGUCCUCUGAAUGAAAGCUCAGCCUUUUUCCUGACAAAGUUCUUAAAGACGAGCGGCUCCUUAAGCAACACGCAAGUGCACAAGUCACAAAUCAACUGCUUGGCUUGACAGUCACCGUGUUAAUGCAAGUUCACCUCUGAUUAAGUGUUGCAUUUUAUGAUACUAUUUACUGCGGCCAUGGAAAGAAAAGUUUUGUAUACUAUUUACAAUGCCAAUCACAAAAAACAAAAAAAAACAAUUUUCCCUCAACGCAAAACUCAAAUUAGCUAACUGGAUUCAGAUAUGCUUGCUUUAUUUUUGUCUAGCUAUCGUGCCGCCAAUGAACUUUAACACAGUGAAUAUGUCAUUGUGGUUCGCAAUAAACUAAACUUUGUUCAAUUUGCGAUUUACCUUGUCACUGUGAUAAUCAAUUCAAUUCAAUUUGA